rnacentral:rRNA from 1 species
UACGUAGGGGUCGAGCGUUGUCCGGACUUACUGGGCGUAAAGCGUGGGUAGGUGGCCACUGAUGUGCCGUGUGAAAGCGCUGCGCUUCUCGCGGCGAGGUCGCGGUAGACACAGUGGCUCGAGGCACGGAGAGGGGCGUAGAAUUCCCGGUGUAGUGGUGAAAUGCGUAGAUAUCAGGAAGAACACCCGUGGCUAAGGCGGCUCUCUAGUACGGUACUGACGCUGAGACGCGAAAGCGUGGGGAGCGAACAGG